rnacentral:tRNA from 1 species
GCCCCGGGCGCGGCCCGCGGGAGCCCGGGGAUGCCGGCCCCGCCACGUCCCGGUCCGGGACAGGGGUUCGAUCCUCUCCCGGCGUCCC